CAGAACGAACGCUGGCGGCAGGCCUAACACAUGCAAGUCGAACGGAUCCUUCGGGAUUAGUGGCAGACGGGUGAGUAACGCGUGGGAAGCUACCUUGUGGUAGGGAACAACAGUUGGAAACGACUGCUAAUACCCUAUGAGCCCUAUGGGGGAAAGAUUUAUCGCCAUGAGAUGUGCCCGCGUUAGAUUAGCUAGUUGGUAAGGUAAUGGCUUACCAAGGCGACGAUCUAUAGCUGGUCUGAGAGGAUGAUCAGCCACACUGGGACUGAGACACGGCCCAGACUCCUACGGGAGGCAGCAGUGGGGAAUAUUGGACAAUGGGGGCAACCCUGAUCCAGCCAUGCCGCGUGAGUGAUGACGGCCUUAGGGUUGUAAAGCUCUUUCAGCAGUGAAGAUAAUGACAUUAACUGCAGAAGAAGCCCCGGCUAACUUCGUGCCAGCAGCCGCGGUAAUACGAAGGGGGCUAGCGUUGUUCGGAAUCACUGGGCGUAAAGCGUACGUAGGCGGACUGAUCAGUCAGGGGUGAAAUCCCGGGGCUCAACCCCGGAACUGCCUUUGAUACUGUCAGUCUUGAGAUCGAGAGAGGUGAGUGGAACUCCGAGUGUAGAGGUGAAAUUCGUAGAUAUUCGGAAGAACACCAGUGGCGAAGGCGGCUCACUGGCUCGAUACUGA
rnacentral:rRNA from 1 species